GUUCCAUAAAGCCUAGUUCUCAUUCAUCGCAAACCGUCGGCGAUGGGAGCUUUGCGACGUCGGCGACCGCUUGCCAUUUAUGAGAACACAUCAAAAAUUAUAUCGCCGAUUGUCCGUAAUCGUCGCCGAACAUCGGCGAUGACAUCGCAGGAAACAAAAAAGUUUGUUUCUUGCGACCAUCGCCGACUGCCACCUGCUUGAAAAAUCUAUGAGAAAUGAGUAAAAGUUGUUUUUUCCUCAACAAGCAAGGAAAUAAUCAACUGAAGUUUGACAGAAAUCAUGAACUUUACGUUGAAUGGGCCCAUUUUGUGGGAAAUUUGGGAAAUUUCGAAACACAUCGGCUGUCAUCUGCGACGAUCACCGAUGUAUGAGAACUUUCGUGCAUUCGCGCUCGGCGAGUAUCGGCGAUAAGCGUCGCCGAUCGUCGGUGACAGAUUGCGAUGAAUGAGAACUAGGCUU